UCCCUGAUGGUCCAGUGGCUAGGAAUCUGCACUUUCACUGCAGAGGGUACAGGUUAGAUCCCUGGUCAGGGAA
rnacentral:tRNA from 1 species